rnacentral:rRNA from 1 species
AUUCUGGUUGAUCCUGGCAGAGGUCACUGCUAUCGGGGUUCGAUUAAGCCAUGCGAGUCGAGAGGGUUCAGACCCUCGGCGGACUGCUCAGUAACACGUGGAUAACCUGCCCUAAGGUGGAGCAUAACCCCGGGAAACUGGGGAUAAUACUCCAUAGGUUAUGGAUGCUGGAAUGCAUCAUAACUCAAAGCUCCGGCGCCUUAGGAUGGAUCUGCGGUCGAUUAGGUUGUUGUUGGGGUAACGGCCCAACAAGCCUGUAAUCGAUACGGGUUGUGGGAGCAAGAGCCCGGAGAUGGAAUCUGAGACACGAUUCCAGGCCCUACGGGGCGCANCANGCGCGAAAACUUUACAAUGCANGAAACUGNGAUAAGGGAACCCCGAGUGCCCG